AAACCGAGGCGGUGGUGUGCUGCUGCUGCUGCCGCCACCACCACCACCACCAGCGCCUUCUUUUCCUCCUCUUCCAGAAGCAGCCAUUGGCUAAGACCCGAAUCCACGUUUCCUUGGGGGUAAGGCACCCACCCCCACCCCCGUUCUCACGGAGGUUCGCUCUCCGCCUCCAGGGGCUCGCGGGGCUGAGAUCCGACACUCACUUUUUUUGGAGAGCUCCAUGGAAUUAAGAGGGACGGUCGACCUCCGAAGAAAGGGGCGCGCGGAAUCCGGCGGCGCGCGCGUCUCUUCUGGGAGAGCAUUGGGGCCGCUGCUGCAGUUUCCGCGAGCGAGGCUUCGGGCACCUUGGACUGCUUCCCAACGCGGCUGGUUUAGGCUGUCGAGGUGCCAGGAUCAGUCCUCGGGCCAAUCCCUGGCUGUGCCAUGAGUUCCCCUCCCUUCCUCCGCUGUCCUCCAUUUUUCUUAUCAACCAUCUCCAAGCGCCUGGGGGUUAGCAUUUAACCCAAAGGUGCGAUACUCACAGCGCCAUCGCACCUAUAUUUGCUUAAAAGGAAGCCACGCUGUGAGAGCCACGCGUAUUUCAUGUCCAUUUUUGCUUGUGUGUGUGUGUGGAUUUGGUUCAGGUUCCUGUAUUCUUCACACUUUCCACUCCCAGAAUGAUUUGUUGAGCCUCCUGUUAAGGGUUGUACUGCACCUUCUCAAACUGUGUGAUAUAGAAGCCUAUUGUCCCCUUAUUUAAGUGCCAAGAACAUCUUUGUUCCUUGGGUGAGAUUACAAACAUAUAUAGAGCCAGUGAGGUGAAAUGGUUAGAGUGUUAGACUAGGACUUAAGAGACCAGCCUUGAAGCUCCCUGGGUAACCUUGGGCCAGCACUCAUCAUCUCUCAGCCUAACCUACCUCACUACCUGUUGUGAGGAUAAGAUGCCACCCUCAUUAAACUUACUACAGUACAGGGCCAACUGCAUACGACUGGGUUCAUAUUCCUAGGUGAGAAUGAGGUUUUCAGCGAAGGGAGAUAGGCAGUUCUAUGCUUAGGUAUUCUAAGUGCCAUUUAACUUUGCAAGGGUUGCCAAUAUGGGUUUUAAAUAUACCCAGAGAGGAAAUUUUGAUUGGCCAAGGGGUGGAGCCUAUGCCUACGUUUGCAUGUCCAGGAGUGGAACCUGGUAGAUGAAGGGUUCAGUCAAUUUAGUAUUUUCUUUGUUAUUGGUUGUGUGGAUCCUCUAUGCUCAGAAGCUGGAAGGCUGCCAUCAUAACACCACCUACUUAAGAGUAAGCUCCAUUGAGUUGACACACACAAUAAGCCACUAACACUUGUCAGAUGGCAACACAUUGCAGGGGCUAUUACCUGCAUGCCCUACUUGUGGGCAUCUGAUUGGCCACUGUGAAAAUCAAGAUGCUGGAUCACAUUUGGUCUAAUCCAGCAGGGAUCUCAUUAGUUUUGUACUUCAAGUGGUUCAACUUGGCUCACAGAUCCCUAAAAUAAAGAAUACACAUUUGACAGAUUGGGAAACGAGCAGAGUGAAACCAACAACGCACACAAAAAUGUUAAGCAUGGUAUAUAUAAGAUUGGUAACAUUGCAAAACAUUCCUAAGUAAUGAUAUAAUAACUUUAGACUCAAAGCAACUCCAGUCAUUCAUUCAUUCUUUAAAUUUCUUUACCGCCCUUCAUCCAAGGAUCACGGGGCAGUUUACAAAAAUACAUAACAUAUUAAUGAACAGAAUGCACCCCUGCAGAGAUAGAAGUACCCUUGUCUAUGAAAAUCCUUCAAUAAAAACAGUUGUUUAAUUAGCCAAAGGCCUGUUUGAAAAGAAAUGUUUUUGCUUGGUGCUUAAAGAUGAAGGUGCCAGGCAAGCCUCUCUGGAGAGAACAUUCCACAAAUGGGGCCACUACAGAAAAGGCCUGUUAUCGUGUUGAUGGUCUCCAUGCUUCUCAUGGAGGAGGGACAUGAAGAAGGGCUUCAGAUGGCUAUCGCAGGAUUCGGGUUGAUUUAUAUGGGGUGAGACAGUCCUUGAGGUAUUGCAGUCUGGAGCCUUUUAAGGCUUUAAAGGGCAAUGCUAGCAUUUUGAAUUGGGCCCAGAAACUAAUUGGCAGUUCCUGCAGUUUGGCCAAAAAACCAUCUUGCCCUGGCACGGAAUUCUGCACUGGUUGAAGCUUCCAAACUGUCUUCAGAGGCAGCCCCACAUAUAAUGCAUUGCAGUACAGUGGUACCUCAGGUUAAGAACUUAAUUUGUUCUGGAGGUCCGUUCUUAACCUGAAACUGUUCUUAAUCUGAGGUACCACUUUAGCUAAUGGGGCCUCCUACUGUGGUCGCACUGCUGCUGCAUAAUUUUUGUUCUCAUCCUGAAGCAAAGUUCUUAACCCGAGGUGCUAUUUCUGGGUGAGCGGAAUCUGUAACCUGAAGCGUCUGUAACCUGAGGUACCACUGUAAUCCAAGGCCAUUUAGAGACCCUAAACACUCAAAAGAUUUUGGUGCUCCCAUAUAUAUCUAUAAUUCAAAAUAUAAACAAUAGUAAACCGUAAAAUAUUGACCUCUACCUUUAUUUUAUGAAGUUCAGCAUAACUGAAUAUUGUUUCUACACCCCCACCCCCGAACUUGUGACAUAAAUAUCGUGGGAGCCUUUUUUGUGGAACCUGCUUCCGCUGCACCAUAUAAUCGAUGGUAAAUCUGGCGAUGGAAAAUUUCUGUGCUGCCCCUCUUCCCUUGAUGCCCUAAGCAUGUGCUUAUUUUGCUUAAUGGUUAAUCCUGCAAUUAAUCUAAUCUUCCCCUUAAUAUCAGCGGUCUUGUUUUAAUGGAUGCAGCAAGUACUCAUGGGUUAACAAGGCUUAGCAUUUUUAUCUCAGGGAGUAAAAUAGCCUUAACAGUUUUAAAUCCUCACCAUGCACACACACAGAAAUAAGCCCCAUUGAGUUCAAGGGGGCUUACUCCCAGGUAGCUGACUAAAGGUGCCAUUUUAGAAUGUAUCUCCUACCCACUGACUUGGGCGUGAGCCCCAUUGAAUUCAGGCAGAUUUACUUCCGAGUACACAGGCUGAGGAACCAUUUUCAGCCCUUCCAGAGGCUACUUACCCAUGAGGGACAUGCAAGAGUGGGAGGAGCAAUAUACAUGCACAAUACACAUGUUUCUACACAUACUCUCACCCUUUGUAUCCUCUACCCAGACAAGCAAGAGACACCAUCAGAGUCCAAGGGCACGUUCUAGUCAGGCAAAAGCACUCAAGGAGGGUGCAAAACAGGGGCAGUAAGGGGUGUGGCCUGGGGGGAGAUCCAAGGGUCUGGCAGAGAGGUCUGAAGGUUCCCUACCUCUAGGAUCAAGGACUGUACAGUGGUACCUUGGUACUCAAACAACUUGGAACCCAAACACUGCAAACCCAGAAGAGUGUGUUCUGGUUUGCGAACUUCUUUCAGAAGCUGAACGUGCUCCGUUUUGAGUGUUAUGCUUCUGAUUUGAGUGUCACGCUUCCGUUUUGAGUAUUAUGCUGAGGUCAGCCUGUUUUUGCUAUAUAUUUUGCAUUUUUGUUUUUGCGGCUCUUUUUGUUUUGUUUUUGUGACUGUGUGGAACCCAGUUCAGCUACUGAUUGAUUGAUUGUGUGACUGCACUACAUUGUUUAUUGCUUUCAUUUUAUGGAUCAAUGGUCUCGUUAGAGGGUAAAAUUCAUGUUAAUUUGCUGUUUUAGGGGUUGUUUUUAAAAGUCUGGAAUGGAUUGAUCCAUUUUGCAUUACUUUCUAUGGGAAAGCAUGCCUUGGUUUUGGAACGCUUUGGUUUUGGAACAGACUUCCAGAAGGGAUUAAGUUUGAGAACCAAGGUACCACUGUACUGUAAAAGAAUGUGGCUCCAUCCCAGUGCAACAUGGCUGGGUUGUGAGGAAGACAGCAAGUCGGAGGGGUGGGGGAAGAAUGAAUUGUUGCUCUUGAUUGGCAAUUCACUUUCUUGCAGCAGACGAAAGCAAGCCGCAUUUGUUUCAGCUGUGCCAAGGCAGAUUUAUUUUAAUAAUUCAAAAUACUUCCAGGGCAGGAGAUGCUUGCCACAGGCUAAAUGUGCAACUGCUUGCACUCAUUCAAAGUGCUCCUCUCUGCCUUCUCGCUCCCCAGUGUCACAGCCCUUCACUCUGGCAGAGAAAUACAAGCUCCCCCUGAUCCCAAAGAGCCACUUGCCAGCCUGCAAUGCAACCCUUCCUUCUUGGAUAAGCCUUUGGUCUGGCACUGUUUGGAGUUACAAGGCACGACCUGCCAGCCAGCGAUUCUAACGAGCUUUGGGUAUCGGCGCACAAGGAAAGCGUCGGCAGGCCUCAUUACAUCGUGUUUAUAUAUGCUGGAAGCAGGACAGAAGCUCCAAGAGCUCAACAGGCACAUCGGUGCCUUUGAGACUGGCUGAGUCUGGGCUCAGCAGUCACAGAGACUUGAUGCAGCUGGUGAAGGAGGUAGAUGUGAGCAAACAUGUCCCCCCACACCAAUGCCCAGGCUACAAUAUACCACUUAACCCCCAUCAGUGCCAUCAAACUGUCUCUCACUGUGCCAUUAAGAUUAUGAAAGUGCCAUCAGCAUAGCUCAUAACCUGGGACGA